GGUCAGUGUGGUGUAGUGGUUUUAGUGUUGGACUAUGAAUCUGGAGACCAGGGUUUGAAUCCUGGCUUGACCA